rnacentral:rRNA from 1 species
GAGACUCUGUGCGCGUGCAUAUCAAUAAGCGGAGGAAAAGAAACUAACAAGGAUUCCCUUAGUAACGGCGAGUGAAGCGGGAAGAGCUCAAAUUUGAAAUCUUCAAGGUUCUACCUUGACGAAUUGUAGUUUAUAGAAGUGUUUUCUGUUAGUAGAGUGGCAAAAGUUCUUUGGAAUAGGACAUCAUAGAGGGUGAGAAUCCCGUAUUUGGUCAUUCUUUCUAGCUUUGUGAUACACUUUCAACGAGUCGGAUUGUUUGGGAAUGCAGUCCAAAAUGGGUGGUAAAUUUCAUCUAAAGCUAAAUAUUGGCGAGAGACCGAUAGCGAACAAGUACCGUGAGGGAAAGAUGAAAAGAACUUUGAAAAGAGAGUUAAACAGUACGUGAAAUUGUCAAAAGGGAAGCGUUUGACACCAGUGUUGUUUUUCCGAAAAUCAAUUACGAAUGUUUUGUUUUUGAGAAGUUAUGACUUCAUCGGCUUGCUUCUCUCUUUAUGAAACUUUCUUAAUGCACUUUUCGGUUAACAAGUCAACAUCAAUUUCUUUUGUUGUAAAAGGGUAUGAGGAAGGUGGCUUUCUUUUCGGAGAAAGUGUUUAUAGCCUUGUGCCUCUGCAAUCGGAGAGAUUGAGGUCUGCAGCGUAGAUCCUUCGGGGUUAGAUACGUUUGUGCUAAGUUAUAGCUUUUCAUAGACAACUUGUUGACUAUGUUUAGUCUUGUAGCUUACUCGUAAGUGCUAUUUUACCUACGCUUAGGAUGUUGACGAUCAGCUGAGCGCG